rnacentral:rRNA from 1 species
ACGAUACGAGUUUGAUCCUGGCUCAGAACGAACGCUGGCGGCAUGCCUAACACAUGCAAGUCGAACGAACCCUUCGGGGUUAGUGGCGCACGGGUGCGUAACGCGUGGGGAUCUGCCCAAAGGUUCGGAAUAACUCAGAGAAAUUUGAGCUAAUACCGGAUAAUGUCUUCGGACCAAAGAUUUAUUGCCUUUGGAUGAACCCGCGUAGGAUUAGCUUGUUGGUGGGGUAAAGGCCUACCAAGGCGACGAUCCUUAGCUGGUCUGAGAGGAUGAUCAGCCACACUGGGACUGAGACACGGCCCAGACUCCUACGGGAGGCAGCAGUGGGGAAUAUUGGACAAUGGGCGAAAGCCUGAUCCAGCAAUGCCGCGUGAGUGAUGAAGGCCUUAGGGUUGUAAAGCUCUUUUACCAGGGAUGAUAAUGACAGUACCUGGAGAAUAAGCUCCGGCUAACUCCGUG